rnacentral:rRNA from 1 species
AUCCUGGCUCAGAUUGAACGCUGGCGGCAGGCCUAACACAUGCAAGUCGAGCGGUAGCACAGAGAGCUUGCUCUCGGGUGACGAGCGGCGGACGGGUGAGUAAUGUCUGGGAAACUGCCUGAUGGAGGGGGAUAACUACUGGAAACGGUAGCUAAUACCGCAUAACGUCGCAAGACCAAAGUGGGGGACCUUCGGGCCUCAUGCCAUCAGAUGUGCCCAGAUGGGAUUAGCUAGUAGGUGGGGUAAUGGCUCACCUAGGCGACGAUCCCUAGCUGGUCUGAGAGGAUGACCAGCCACACUGGAACUGGGACACGGUCCAGACUCCUACGGGAGGCAGCAGUGGGGAAUAUUGCACAAUGGGCGCAAGCCUGAUGCAGCCAUGCCGCGUGUAUGAAGAAGGCCUUCGGGUUGUAAAGUACUUUCAGCGAGGAGGAAGGCGUUAAGGUUAAUAACCUUAGCGAUUGACGUUACUCGCAGAAGAAGCACCGGCUAACUCCGUGCCAGCAGCCGCGGUAAUACGGAGGGUGCAACCGUUAAUCGGAAUUACUGGGCGUAAAGCGCACGCAGGCGGUUUGUUAAGUCAGAUGUGAAAUCCCCGGGCUCAACCUGGGAACUGCAUUUGAAACUGGCAAGCUUGAGUCUUGUAGAGGGGGGUAGAAUUCCAGGUGUAGCGGUGAAAUGCGUAGAGAUCUGGAGGAAUACCGGUGGCGAAGGCGGCCCCCUGGACAAAGACUGACGCUCAGGUGCGAAAGCGUGGGGAGCAAACAGGAUUAGAUACCCUGGUAGUCCACGCUGUAAACGAUGUCGACUUGGAGGUUGUUUCCUUGAGGAGUGGCUUCCGGAGCUAACGCGUUAAGUCGACCGCCUGGGGAGUACGGCCGCAAGGUUAAAACUCAAAUGAAUUGACGGGGGCCCGCACAAGCGGUGGAGCAUGUGGUUUNNUUCGAUGCAACGCGAAGAACCUUACCUACUCUUGACAUCCAGAGAACUUAGCAGAGAUGCUUUGGUGCCUUCGGGAACUCUGAGACAGGUGCUGCAUGGCUGUCGUCAGCUCGUGUUGUGAAAUGUUGGGUUAAGUCCCGCAACGAGNNNAACCCUUAUCCUUUGUUGCCAGCGGUCCGGCCGGGAACUCAAAGGAGACUGCCAGUGAUAAACUGGAGGAAGGUGGGGAUGACGUCAAGUCAUCAUGGCCCUUACGAGUAGGGCUACACACGUGCUACAAUGGCAUAUACAAAGAGAAGCGACCUCGCGAGAGCAAGCGGACCUCANNNAGUAUGUCGUAGUCCGGAUUGGAGUCUGCAACUCGACUCCCCGAAGUCGGAAUCGNNNGUAAUCGUAGAUCAGAAUGCUACGGUGAAUACGUUCCCGGGCCUUGUACACACCGCCCGUCACACCAUGGGAGUGGGUUGCAAAAGAAGUAGGUAGCUUANNNUUCG